UUUUGCUGCAGCUGAUGGUUGUGUUGUUGAUUUUAACAACCUUCUCCAGUUUAUGAUCCAUUUGCAUUGAAAGAAACCAUUUAUGCUUUCAACGGAGGAUGUGUUGUUUUUGUUUGGCCUUUGAUUUGUGCUAUUGAAAGCCGGACCAUUUCGCAAUGCAUCGCCGCAUGCCUGCUCGACGUUCCAUUCCAAAAGGACAUAGUUUUCAACUGAAUGUAAGAAAUCAAGAAACGAUGAAGAGGAAGAGUGAGUGUUUGUGGAUUCCGUAGCAGACUUUUACGGAUUCAUUUGUGGAUAAUUGUUUCGGUAGACAAUGUUGCAUGUUGCUAUAUAGAAUGAUGCACCUACGAGUUGAGCUACUGCAUCUGCAGGUUUAAAUCUUCCCUAGAAAACAAUGUUCGACCAACAUCGAGUGUUACAAUAAAUAUGCAUAGUAUUUACCAGAAAGAACAGGAAGUAAUGAAUUCAUGGCUUUGUUUGCAAAAAAAAAAGAAAGUUUAUGUUUGUUAAAAUUAGAGUUAUGAAAUUGUUCUGUGUAAUGUCAGUAUGGAAUUUCGAUUUUGUGAAUUAAAAAUAAUUAUUUGCUUUCUGAAGUUUCUAACUAGCAAAUAUGAAUAAAUAUUAAGUUGCUUAUGAAUGUAUUAGGUAAUGUAGUAUUUUUACUAAGGGGGAAGGAGUUGUAGUGGCUCGGUAACAUAGCCGAACCCUCUGGAAGGGUUCUCAGUGUAGACUGAGUGUACUGUAUGAGAUAGGAUCUAAUGAUGUACUGAAUAAAGCUGGAGUUGUUUUCUGACUAUGAACUGAAA